UUUUGCUAAAGAUGGCCAUUAUGGGCUUGAGGACCUCUCCGAGUCUGGUUAUGAAGUUGUGAGUCUUGACUGGACCACAGAUCCACGUUCAGCACGUAUCAGGACUGGAGGAAAAGUUAGUUUGCAAGGCAACAUGGAUCCCUGCGCUCUUUAUGCCACAAAGGAGCGCAUAUCAGAGAUUGUGAAGAGGAUGUUGGAGAGCUUCGGCACCAAGGGCUACAUCGCUAAUCUGGGUCACGGCCUCUACCCUGAUAUGGACCCAGAAAAUGUGGGUGCGUUUGUUGAGGCCGUUCACACCCAUUCUCGCCAGCUCCUCAACCGCAAAUAAGAGGUUACUCUCCCAUCAGAAGACCCUCCAAAACACAAGAGAAGCAACAACUGUUGGUGUGCACCGCUUUAUCGUUAGAUAUGUUACAGGGUGAACCUCUCUCAAAAUCUGUCAAGAAAAUGUCCAGUUCUAUUUCACUCCAAAAUGAAAAGAAAUAAGAAAAUAGUUUUGGCUUAACGAGGAAGGACCAUUAAGGCUUUACAUUUCACAUUUCCCUCCCAAAUUCUCUUUACCAUACACUCGUAAGAAUGGUUCUAAACAGUACCAGAAAAGGGUCCUUCAGCUUGUAACAA